rnacentral:tRNA from 1 species
GGACCGUUAGCUCAGCUGGAUAGAGCGCUGCCCUCCGAAGGCAGAGGCCAGAGGUUCGAAUCCUCUACGGUUCGCCA